UACGGGGGGGGCAAGCGUUGUUCGGAAUUACUGGGCGUAAAGGGCUCGUAGGCGGCCAACUAAGUCAGACGUGAAAUCCCUCGGCUUAACCGGGGAACUGCGUCUGAUACUGGAUGGCUUGAGAUUGGGAGAGGGAUGCGGAAUUCCAGGUGUAGCGGUGAAAUGCGUAGAUAUCGGGAGGAACACCUGUGGCGAAGGCGGCCCCCUGGUCGGAUACUGACGCUGAGACGCGAAAGCGUGGGGAGCAAACAGG
rnacentral:rRNA from 1 species